rnacentral:lncRNA from 1 species
UUCUUCUCCAUCUGUGUAGGAUCUCACCAGUGAAAUUUCAACAAGUCCCACAAAUUCAUUCAUAACCUCUUUUGCAGAAGUCUACGUGACUGGCCUUGGACUUCUUCAUUCACAGAGGGGAAAAGGGUCAGAGAUAUGAGACAAUCUGCAAAGAGGAAGCCAUGCCCUUGGCAUAGAAGCCGCUUGUUCCUGGGAUAAAGAGGUGGAUUUGGAAGAGUAGGCCAAAGUUGGACAAUAAGCCAAGGGGGGAAACUGUUGAAGAGAGUCAAGAGGCUGAGGCCUUGAGCCUGCAUUUUGGGUGGCACCCAAAGAUGACAAAAGGAGAAACAUGUCAUAAACUAGGCUUCAAAUGGCGCUUUGGCAGAAAGUUGUUUUGCUGCCCAAACUGGCAUUUAAUAUUGGUUGAAAUGAAUAAGACAUGCCAGCCAUCAACUUUUUACCAUGUAAUUAACCAGCUCUGAAUAAGGACAUGUCUUUUUACUUUAGUGCUCUUUUGAAAAUGGGUAAUAAACAAAAUAUUCAAAAGUCACAAAAUAGUAUGGACCGUGAGAACAUUGUGCUAAGUGAAACAAACCAGUUACAAAAGGACAAACACUAUAUGAUUCCACUUGCAUGAGCUAUCUAGAGUAGUCAAAUUCAUAGAAACAGAAAGUAGAAUGGUGACUGCCAAGGGUAGGGGAAGUAUUAAGUACUUGUUUAAUGGCUAGGAAAAAGUUUUGGAGGCUGGUUGUACAACAAUAUGAAUAUACUUUAAACUACUGAGCAGUACCCUUAAAAAUGUUUAAGAUAGUAAGUUUUGCUACAUGUAUUUUAUCACAAUUAAAAAUUUUUAAAAAUUUUAAGUCACAAAUUAGUGUAGAAAGUAUCACCCAAUUCUGCCUUCUGGCCACUCGGUUCCACUCCUCAGAGACAGCCAGUGUUAGUAUAUCUUCCCAUCUUUCCAUUUGGGAAUACAUUAGAAAUACAUUCUAAUUAUAUAUGCUUGCAAAUAUAUGCCUAUAGAGAUAAAACACACCCAUACACAAACAGUGGCAUAUUACACGUACUGUUCAUGCACUUCGG